rnacentral:sRNA from 1 species
UUGACAGAUGGUGCCAUGGUCAACGUUCAGUUCCACCUGGCGGAGGUGCUGUGGAUUGUUGUCACGUUCAAUCUGUUGUACUGGCCAGUUUUCAUCAUUUUGAUGCGUUUCAUAAACAAACCACACUACGACGAGGUUCUCAAACCGAAUCUUCGCAGACUUUUUCGAAAGACGAGGGUGAUCCUGUACAAACAGUGUAUCAUCGGCUACAGAAGCCUUGUACUUGCAUACUUCAUGGCCUGUAGAAUGGUCGGCUUGAUGACCUCGCCGAAGAUUGUCUUUCCUGUACUCAACUAUCUGACCUGCUACUUUGUUUUUGGGUUUUGUCUGACCGGACUUGUCACCGCUUUAAACCACAGAUUUAAAAUGUCCCCAUAACCAGCAACGUGUGCUUGCUAAAAUGAAGUUUGUUUUGUAAAAGUCUGGCAACUGGAAAUGUGUUUUUGCUCCUAGCAUCAUAUUUUAUCAAAAAGAGUUUGUGUUUUAAAACUAAACCCUGUGACUAAUAAAAAAACAACAGCAAAAGUAC